rnacentral:rRNA from 1 species
ACCAACAGGGAUUGCCCUAGUAACGGCGAGUGAAGCGGCAACAGCUCAAAUUUGAAAUCUGGCUCUUUCAGAGUCCGAGUUGUAAUUUGCAGAGGGCGCUUUGGCUUUGGCAGCGGUCCAAGUUCCUUGGAACAGGACGUCACAGAGGGUGAGAAUCCCGUACGUGGUCGCUAGCUAUUGCCGUGUAAAGCCCCUUCGACGAGUCGAGUUGUUUGGGAAUGCAGCUCUAAAUGGGAGGUAAAUUUCUUCUAAAGCUAAAUAUUGGCCAGAGACCGAUAGCGCACAAGUAGAGUGAUCGAAAGAUGAAAAGCACUUUGGAAAGAGAGUCAAACAGCACGUGAAAUUGUUGAAAGGGAAGCGCUUGCAGCCAGACUUGCUUGCAGUUGCUCAUCCGGGCUUUUGCCCGGUGCACUCUUCUGCAGGCAGGCCAGCAUCAGUUUGGGCGGUGGGAUAAAGGUCUCUGUCAUGUACCUCUCUUCGGGGAGGCCUUAUAGGGGAGGCGACAUACCACCAGCCUAGACUGAGGUCCGCGCAUCUGCUAGGAUGCUGGCGUAAUGGCUGUAAGCGGCCCGUCUUGAAACACGGACCAAGGAGUCUAACAUCUAUGCGAGUGUUUGGGUGUCAAGCCCGAGCGCGUAAUGAAAGUGAACGGAGGUGGGAACCCGCAAGGGUGCACCAUCGACCGAUCCUGAAGUUUACGGAAGGAUUUGAGUAAGAGCAUGGCUGUUGGGACCCGAAAGAUGGUGAACUAUGCUUGAAUAGGGUGAAGCCAGAGGAAACUCUGGUGGAGGCUCGCAGCGGUUCUGACGUGCAAAUCGAUCGUCAAAUUUGGGCAUAGGGGCGAAAGACUAAUCGAACUAUCUAGUAGCUGGUUCCUGCCGA